rnacentral:tRNA from 1 species
GGCGAUGUAGCUCAGACGGUUAGAGCAUGCGGCUCAUAUCCGCAGUGUCCGGGGUUCAAUUCCCUGCAUCGCCACCA